UACGGGAGGCAGCAGUAAGGAAUAUUGGACAAUGGCCGAAAGGCUGAUCCAGCCAUCCAGCGUGCAGGAAGAAGGCCCUAUGGGUUGUAAACUGCUUUUAUCAGGGAAUAAACCUCUGGAUUCACUCCGGAGCUGAAGGUACCUGAAGAAUAAGCACCGGCUAACUCCGCGCCAGCAGCCGCGGUAAUACGGAGGGUGCGAGCGUUAUCCGGAAUUACUAGGUUUAAAGGGUGCGUAGGCGGCUUUGUAAGUCAGGAGUGAAAGUUUGCAGCUCAACUGUAAAAUUGCUUUUGAUACUGCGAGGCUAGAAUUAGGAUGAGGUCAGCGGAAUGUGGCAUGUAGCGGUGAAAUGCAUAGAUAUGCCAUAGAACACCAAUUGCGAAGGCAGCUGGCUAGACCUGGAUUGACGCUGAGGCACGAAAGCGUGGGGAGCGAACAGGAUUAGAUACCCUGGCAGUCCACGCCGUAAACUAUGAUCACUCGAUGUGUGCGACACACAGUACGCGUCUGAGCGAAAGCAUUAAGUGAUCCACCUGGGGAGUACGAUCGCAAGGUUGAAACUCCAAAGGAAUUGACGG
rnacentral:rRNA from 1 species